rnacentral:rRNA from 1 species
UACGGGGGGGGCAAGCGUUGUUCGGAAUUAUUGGGCGUAAAGAGCUCGUAGGCGGCUUGUCGCGUCGGAUGUGAAAGCCCGGGGCUUAACUCCGGGUCUGCAUUCGAUACGGGCAGGCUAGAGUUCGGUAGGGGAGAUCGGAAUUCCUGGUGUAGCGGUGAAAUGCGCAGAUAUCAGGAGGAACACCGGUGGCGAAGGCGGAUCUCUGGGCCGAUACUGACGCUGAGGAGCGAAAGCGUGGGAAGCGAACAGG